rnacentral:rRNA from 1 species
GACGAACGCUGGCGGCGUGCUUAACACAUGCAAGUCGAACGAAGAGGCGAACGGGUGAGUAACGCGUAAUCAACCUGCCCUUCAGCGGGGGACAACAGUUGGAAACGACUGCUCAUACCGCAUCAUGAAGGAGGGGCUUGCGUCUGAUUAGCUAGUUGGAGGGGUAACGGCCCACCAAGGCGAUGAUCAGUCGCCGGUCUGAGAGGAUGAACGGCCACAUUGGGACUGAGACACGGCCCAGACUCCUACGGGAGGGAGCAAUGGGGAAUCUUCCGCAAUUGACGAAAGUCUGACGGGGCAACGCCGCGUGAGGGAUGACGGCCUUCGGGUUGUAAAGCUCUGUUAAUCGGGACGCGGUACCGGAAUAGAAAGCCACGGCUAACUACGUGCCAGCAGCCGCGGUAAUUC